CGAAAGCCUGACGGAGCAAUACCGCGUGAGGGAGGAAGGCCUUUGGGUUGUAAACCUCUUUUCUCAGGGAAGAAGUUCUGACGGUACCUGAGGAAUAAGCAUCGGCUAACUCCGUGCCAGCAGCCGCGGUAAUACGGAGGAUGCAAGCGUUAUCCGGAAUUAUUGGGCGUAAAGCGUCCGCAGGUGGUCUUUCAAGUCUGCUGUCAAAGACCAGAGCUCAACUCUGGGCCGGCGGUGGAAACUGAGAGACUAGAGUACGGUAGGGGUAGCGGGAAUUCCCAGUGUAGCGGUGAAAUGCGUAGAUAUUGGGAAGAACAUCGGUGGCGAAGGCGCGCUACUGGACCGAAACUGACACUCAGGGACGAAAGCUAGGGGAGCG
rnacentral:rRNA from 1 species